rnacentral:sRNA from 1 species
GACCUACCCCGUAGCUAUGUGUUACGGCAAGGUCGAAAAUCGUUAGGUACAGAGAACCCGUCAUUCAGGGCGUACCUAACGUUAUAGGGGGAAACUCCUAUAAGGCCGCAAGGCCU